UGCAGGUGAUCGCCGUUGAAAGACGGUUUCCUCUUCGGAGGCACCUGCACAGGUGCUGCAUGGCUGUCGUCAGCUCGUGUCGUGAGAUGUUCGGGUUAAGUCCCGCAACCGAGCGCAACCCUUAUCCCCAGUUGCCAUCAGGUAAAGCUGGGAACUCUGGGGAGACUGCCGGUGAUAAACCGGAGGAAGGCGGGGAUGACGUCAAGUCCUCAUGGCCCUUACAUCCCGGGCUCCACACGUGCUACAAUGGCAGGUACAGAGGGCUGCGAAGCCGCGAGGUGGAGCCAAUCCCAAAACCGGCCCAGUUCAGAUUGCAGUCUGCAACUCGACUGCAUGAAGUCGGAAUCGCUAGUAAAGGCGUAUCAGCAACGACGCCUUGAAUACGUUCCCGGGCCUU
rnacentral:rRNA from 1 species